UACGUAGGGGGCAAGCGUUAUCCGGAUUUACUGGGUGUAAAGGGGGCGCAGACGGCGAUGCAAGCCAGGAGUGAAAGCCCGGGGCCCAACCCCGGGACUGCUCUUGGAACUGCGUGGCUGGAGUGCAGGAGGGGCAGGCGGAAUUCCUGGUGUAGCGGUGAAAUGCGAAGAUAUCAGGAGGAACACCGGUGGCGAAGGCGGCCUGCUGGACUGCAACUGACGUUGAGGCCCGAAAGCGUGGGGAGCAAACAGG
rnacentral:rRNA from 1 species